AUACUCACCUGGCAGGGGAGAGUCGGUGGUCACAAAGGCGGCUUUUCCAUGGGGAGGCUCACGUACUGGACUUGGAGUGUGCUGACCCCUGCGACUUCUCCAAACUCUCAUAUCUGAGGUUGUUCACAGACUUCAAAAAUUGUAUUUAUUUUCCUCUGGAAACG